rnacentral:lncRNA from 1 species
UAGCUGGGCUUGGGGCGGGGCCGAGACGGAGCGAGGGGUCCAGGGUGUGGGAAACGGGGAGGGGUUUGAGGAGGGGAUCGGAAUGUGGCUCAAGUUCGGGAGGCGUUACCUGCGGAGGGUUUGAGGCAGGCCCAGGAGCGAGCCCAUGGUCUUCCGACGCGGGGCCAGGGGCGGGGCCCAGGAUCCGGAGCUUCGUGCGGGGCCGAGUCCAGGUUUGGGGCCCGGGAGGCGGGGCCAGUUAGGGCGAGGGUCCCUGGGAUCGUCGGGUCAGGCCUUGGGCUAACGUAGGCACUCUCGCAGUUCCUCCGCCUUCAGGAAGGUCUUUUCAGCAGGGGCCUUACGGGUGCAUGCUUCGGUCCUGGAGGCCUUAUCCUAGCCUCCUCUCCAUCAGCGCCACCCGUCUGGGGCCCGAAAGGAGGGAGCUUUCCCUCUGUCCCCCAGCCUUUGGACUGUCACUAAACAAGCCAUUCGUUCAUCAAAUACUUUUUAAGCGCCUACCAUGUGCCUGACAAGGGAGAUGUAACGGUGAGAAAAACUAGGUGUGGUCCAGGCCCUUCAGGGGCUCAGGUGCUCGUGGAAGAAGUGGACAUUGAAGUACUUAUCACACAAAUGAGGAUAAAAGUACGAUAACGAUAUCUACCACGAAGCUGUUGUUCCCCACCAGAACCAAAUGAGCGCAAGAUCUGACAAAGAAAAAAAAAGCUGGGGAAACUGAGUUACAGAGCUUGUCUGCACUGAGUCAUCAGGAGCAAAUGCUAGAUCAGAUAGGGUCUCUCUCUCUGCCACCCAGGCCAGAGUGCAGUUGACGCAGGGCAGGGGAGCCCCGAAGUGGAGCAUAGUGUGUCCGGAACUGGUGGGUUCUUGGUCUCACUGACUUCAAGAAAGAAGCCGCGGACCCUCGCGAGACGGGGUCUUGCUCUGUUGCUCAAGCUGGA